CUGCUUAAUUGUAGUCUGCCGAUGUAUUUUUCAAACCCAUUUACCUAAUACUGAUCUAUACUCCAAAAACGAAAGUUUAUGGUUUUAAUCUAUAACAACUUUCAGCAGUGGAUGUCUAGGCUCGCACAUCGAUGAAGAACGCUGCGAACUGCGAUACGUAAUGCGAAUUGCAGAAUUCAGUGAGUCAUCGAAAUUUUGAACGCACAUUGCACUUUCGGGUUAUGCCUGGAAGUAUGCCUGUAUCAUUGUCCGUACAUCAAACUUGCCUUUCUUUUUCUGUGUAGUCAGGGAGAGAGAUGGCAGAAUGUGAGGUGUCUCGCUGGCUCCCUUUUCGGAGGAGAAGACGCGAGUCCCUUUAAAUGUACGUUCGCUCUUUCUUGUGUCUAAGAUGAAGUGUGAUUCUCGAAUCGCGGUGAUCUGUUUGGAUCGCUUUGCGCAUUUGGGCGACUUCGGUUAGGACAUUAAAGGAAGCAACCUCUAUUGGCGGUAUGUUAGGCUUCGGCCCGACGUUGCAGCUGACAGAGUGUGGUUUUCUGUUCUUUCCUUGAGGUGUACCUGAAUUGUGUGAGGCAAUGGUCUGGGCAAAUGGUUGCUGUGUAGUAGGGUUUUGCUGCUCUUGGACGCCCUGUUUUCGGAUAGGGUAAA
rnacentral:misc_RNA from 1 species